CCAGCAGCACUCACAUAGCCAGCUCCAGGCCUGCUCCCCGCUAGUCUCAGCCAGGCAAGCACCAGCAGCUCGUCUCGCUGGGAAUCGUUUGAUCCUCAGGAAGGGAUCGGAUCUCAGCUCGGGAAACCCUGAGACUAAUCAAUUGCUGCUUUGACAUGGGUGCAGGGUGACAAGGAACGGCCAGGAAUGCCACUUGUGACAGAUCGGACAGAGAGCUGAAGGAUGAGCUGAAAGACACGCGGUAGGUAUGGUGGGGUAUGGUCCUUAGCAACUGACAGGGAGCCCCCCCUGGGUAGAACUGCUGGGGGAGGAGGAGGAAUAGCGAGGAUAACACUUGGACAUGUCAGCAGAAUUCUGGAAUAGAACCCUGAGAGUCUUCCAUUCUGUCACUCAGCACAGACAAACACCAUGCACAAUGACAGACAGACAGAUAUAGAUAGAUAGAUAGAUAGAUAGAAAAUAUGUGUUGUGCAAGGUUCUGGAAGAAGAGUAUGGCAUUAAUGCAACAACUGCAAUGCAUUAUGUAUGUAUGAGUUAUU